AAAAAAGAGAAUAAGCUUGGUGAGAAGAAAAGAUCCAGAGGUUUGUGCUCUCUUACUUUUCUCUCCGCUGUGUUCGUUUGUUGACAAUUCCUUUUCUUCUCAGAUGCAAAAGCGAAUUUAUAUUAUUAAUAAAAAUGCCAAAUUAGCAUGAUUUCCAUGAAAUCAUUAUCCAAAACUUUUUGGUUGUAAAGAGUACGUUCACUAGAUUUAACUUAGUAUGUACUGUUCCCAUUUCAUUAUAACCAAAAAACAGUAUUCUUUGAUCUUCGAAAUUUUACGAUAUUAAUUGCAUGCACAGGUAGGUUCUUCUUCUUCAUACUUAAUUUUCUACAAUUACUGUAGAAUAGAACAAUUUAAGGGGGUCUCUAAUGUGAUGGGAUCGAGUGGAUGGCAUUUUCCUUUCCUGUGAUUCAUACGUGAAUAAUCUGCACUUUGAAGCAGACCUUUAAAAACAAUGGAUUUGAGAAAGAGGAAUCUAAAAGCAUCAAUUCAUUACUUUGAUUGUUCAACAUGUGACUUCGAAUCACAUGAAAAUAAUGAAACUGACCAAGAUCAAGUUGUUUAGGCACAUAUAUGAUUCAUAAGAUGCUUCCGAGUGUAGUGAGGUCUUAGUAAGGUUGGUUGAAUGAGGAGCUUUAUGACAGCAUGCAGAGAACAAAGAAGUUCCCUGAGGAUAAUCCGUAGCAUAUACCAGUACAAUAAAAAUGACUAAAAUAAAAGGUAAUAAUCUCUAAAUAAAGAAGGAAUAAUAGGAAAAUAAGUGCAAAUUGUUAAAAAUAUAAAUUGUUGCAAAUCUUAUUUUAUAACGAUUUGGUAAGAAAGAUUGAAUUUUAGAAUUUGAUAUAAAUGAGUACAAACUUUAUAUUAUAGCUAAUUUUAUAAUAUAGAUUUAGAUUUUUAAAAAUCCAAUGUGUUUUUACCAGAAAAAUGUUCGGAAGCUCUACUUGAGAAGGACCGAAAAUUCUUUAAGGAAGGAAUACGUUCUCAAUUGAUCUUCAAUGUGAAAAGAACUAUCUGAUGUUUAAGUUAGAAGUACAGAGAUAAUAAAGAUCUUUGUUAUUAUCAUUUUUUAUUUUUUGUCAUUGAGGAUGUGUGAUGUUUGAGUCAGUCAAUUUAGGAUGAAGAGAUUUGAAUUGGGGUGGUCAGUGAGAUUUGAAGUCACAAGAACAAGAUUUUAUUCAAAGGUGGAGCGCUGGACUAUUCUGAGAUUUUUUUUUUGGCUCAAUUGAAAGUUUGGUCUUGAACUACUUCUAAAUUCUUCUCUGCUUGUUUCUCUUAUUCUGAUUGGUGUCUAAUUCUUCUGGAUUGACUUGUUUCGCUUUAGUUGUUGUCUGGUUGUGGUUUUUGGCAGGGCUAGUUUUGAAUUGUUGGCAGGAAGGUGUGUGAUGUAAGGAUGUAUCCGAUUUUUUGUAUACAGGUUGGAUCACUCCUGAAGUGAUUCUUAUAUAUAUAUUGCUUAUUGCUGAUAAAAAAAAAAACAAAGAUAACAAAGAUGAGAGAGGUUAAGAGUAUGAGAUAAGAUAAAAUUGUACUUCUUAAAGAAUGAAUAUUUAUAGAUUAAUUAGGUGGUAUCAUUUGAGUAGAC
rnacentral:lncRNA from 1 species